rnacentral:rRNA from 1 species
CCGGAUCUCAGAUCAAGCCAAG